AGGGUGUAAACGCUGCAGACUUGGUGUUGGAAAUCCUUCGAGGGUAUUCAGUGCCGGAGAGAAGUUGUUAAGUCUGCUACUUGGGGAGUACGUCCGCAAGGAUGAAACUUAAAGGAAUUGGCGGGGGGAGCACCGCAACGGGAGGAGCGUGCGGUUUAAUUGGAUUCAACACCGGAAAACUCACCAGGGGAGACUGUUACAUGAAACCCAGACUAAUGAUCUUGGUUGAUUUUCAGAGAGGAGGUGCAUGGCGUCAGUGACU
rnacentral:rRNA from 1 species